UACGUAGGGGGCAAGCGUUGUCCGGAAUUAUUGGGCGUAAAGGGCGCGUAGGCGGCUUUGCAAGUGACGGGUGAAAGCCCUCGGCUUAACCGAGGAACUGCCUGUCAGACUGUGAGGCUUGAGACCGGGAGAGGUGAGUGGAAUUCCCAGUGUAGCGGUGAAAUGCGUAGAUAUUGGGAGGAACACCAGUGGCGAAGGCGGCUCACUGGACCGGAACUGACGCUGAGGCGCGAAAGCGUGGGGAGCAAACAGG
rnacentral:rRNA from 1 species